rnacentral:rRNA from 1 species
UAGUUGGUCGCGGCUACACAUGCAGUCGAGCGGAUGACGGGAGCUUGCUCCUUGAUUCAGCGGCGGACGGGUGAGUAAUGCCUAGGAAUCUGCCUGGUAGUGGGGGACAACGUUUCGAAAGGAACGCUAAUACCGCAUACGUCCUACGGGAGAAAGCAGGGGACCUUCGGGCCUUGCGCUAUCAGAUGAGCCUAGGUCGGAUUAGCUAGUUGGUGGGGUAAUGGCUCACCAAGGCGACGAUCCGUAACUGGUCUGAGAGGAUGAUCAGUCACACUGGAACUGAGACACGGUCCAGACUCCUACGGGAGGCAGCAGUGGGGAAUAUUGGACAAUGGGCGAAAGCCUGAUCCAGCCAUGCCGCGUGUGUGAAGAAGGUCUUCGGAUUGUAAAGCACUUUAAGUUGGGAGGAAGGGCAGUAAGCUAAUACCUUGCUGUUUUGACGUUACCGACAGAAUAAGCACCGGCUAACUCUGUGCCAGCAGCCGCGGUAAUACAGAGGGUGCAAGCGUUAAUCGGAAUUACUGGGCGUAAAGCGCGCGUAGGUGGUUCGUUAAGUUGGAUGUGAAAGCCCCGGGCUCAACCUGGGAACUGCAUCCAAAACUGGCGAGCUAGAGUACGGUAGAGGGUGGUGGAAUUUCCUGUGUAGCGGUGAAAUGCGUAGAUAUAGGAAGGAACACCAGUGGCGAAGGCGACCACCUGGACUGAUACUGACACUGAGGUGCGAAAGCGUGGGGAGCAAACAGGAUUAGAUACCCUGGUAGUCCACGCCGUAAACGAUGUCAACUAGCCGUUGGAAUCCUUGAGAUUUUAGUGGCGCAGCUAACGCAUUAAGUUGACCGCCUGGGGAGUACGGCCGCAAGGUUAAAACUCAAAUGAAUUGACGGGGGACCCGCACAAGCGGUGGGAGCAUGUGGUUUUAAUUUCCAAAGCAACGCCAAACAACCUUUACCAGGGCCUUGGACAUGGCAGAGGAACUUUUCCCGAAAAUGGAAUUGGUGGCC